ACGCUCGACACCUACGGGAGGAGCAGUGGGGAAUAUUGCACAAUGGGGGAAACCCUGAUGCAGCGACGCCGCGUGGAGGAAGAAGGUCUUCGGAUUGUAAACUCCUGUUGUUGGGGAAAAAGAGGAUGGUACCCAACAAGGAAGUGACGGCUAACUACGUGCCAGCAGCCGGACGGUAAUCUGAGGCGGGCUGGACAAGGC
rnacentral:rRNA from 1 species